rnacentral:rRNA from 1 species
GACGAACGCUGGCGGCGUGCUUAACACAUGCAAGUCGAACGCUGAAGCUCAGCUUUUGUUGGGUGGAUGAGCGGCGAACGGGUGAGUAACACGUGAGUAACCUGCUCCCUUCUUUGGGAUAACGCCCGGAAACGGGUGCUAAUACUGGAUAUUCACUGGUCUUCGCAUGGGGGUUGGUGGAAAGGGUUUUUCUGGUGGGGGAUGGGCUCGCGGCCUAUCAGCUUGUUGGUGGGGUGAUGGCCUACCAAGGCUUUGACGGGUAGCCGGCCUGAGAGGGUGACCGGUAACAUUGGGACUGAGAUACGGCCCAGACUCCUACGGGAGGCAGCAGUGGGGAAUAUUGCACAAUGGGCGCAAGCCUGAUGCAGCGACGCCGCGUGAGGGAUGGAGGCCUUCGGGUUGUGAACCUCUUUCGCUCAUGGUCAAGCCGCAACAAUGGUUGUGGUGAGGGUAGUGGGUAAAGAAGCGCCGGCUAACUACGUG